rnacentral:rRNA from 1 species
UACGUAGGUGGCAAGCGUUGUCCGGAAUUAUUGGGCGUAAAGCGCGCGCAGGCGGUCCUUUAAGUCUGAUGUGAAAGCCCACGGCUCAACCGUGGAGGGUCAUUGGAAACUGGGGGACUUGAGUGCAGGAGAGAAGAGUGGAAUUCCACGUGUAGCGGUGAAAUGCGUAGAUAUCUGGAGGAACACCGGUGGCGAAGGCGGCAGCCUGGACCGGUAUUGACGCUGAGGCGCGAAAGCCAGGGGAGCAAACCGG